UUACCCCCUAAUUACCCCCUAAUCACCCCUAAUUUGCAUAUCCCCCCAUUUAGCGGGCGAGCUCGUCAGCCUGGGCGCUCUGGCCGCGCUGGCCCCGCCCCGCCCCGCCCCCCCCGCCGCGGGGGGCGUGGCCAAACCCGCGGGGCCCCUCCCCCCUCCGGCCCCGCCCCCCGCGCAGGCCCCGCCCCCUCUGACGUUGCAGCUGCAGGGCGGGAAAGUGACGCUCGGCCCCGCCCCCCCAUUACGUCACCUGGCGCUGGCCCCGCCCCCCGCGCGCGGAUUGGCCCGUCACGUGGUGCACCUGGUGGCCGCGGGGGGGCAGCACCUGCUGGCCCCGCCCACCCAGCUGGCCCUGCUGGCGCCCCUGGGAGCCCCCGCGGCGGGGGGCGGGGCCGGGGGCGGGGCCGGGGGCGGGGCCGGGGUGGCCACGCCCCCUCCGCCCCCCGCGGGGCUCGGGCUCCCCCUGGCGGCGGCGCAAGGUCAGGCAGGAAGGGGUUAAACACACCUGGGGGGGGUAAAUGCACCUGGGGGGGCACCUGGGCACACCUGGGCACUCACCUGGGCACACCUGGGGGUAUCUGGGCACACCUGAGAGGGGUUAAACACACCUGAGAACUCACCUGGGCACACCUGGGGGGGGGGAAAUAUACCUGGGGGGGGUUAGACACACCUGAGGGGGGGUUAAACACACCUGAGAACUCACCUGGGGGGGGUAAACACACCUGGGCACACCUGGAUGGGGUUAAACACACCUGGGGGCACCUGGGCACACCUGGGGGUACCUGGGAGGUACUUGGGGGCUCACCUGGGCAUAGCUGGGCACACCUGGGGGUACCUGGG
rnacentral:lncRNA from 1 species